UUCACACGAUUUCGUACUAGAAUGACAUAAACAUAAGCAAGUUGUUUUGCUUAUUUUUCUCUUCUGAGCACAUAAAAAUUGAAAGAGAGCGUAGUUUGACGGAUUAUGGGUUUCAUUUCAUAUUCUUAUUUAUGAGUAGAACAGCAGUUUUCGGUAUAAAUAAUCAAAGUUAAUUUUAAAUUGCAAGUCAAUGGUGCAACCUGCACUUGGAACUGGAAUGGACGAUGUGAGAAGAAGGCUGCAGAAAAAUAUUCAGCAAAACUUUGUGAGGUCUUCAAACUUUAAGGGAGCCCCGAGUACGAUGGAGCCGAGGAGCUGAGUAUCCACUGGAGGACAAAGAAAAUAUAACCAAAAUCAAAAACUUCUGCAUAAACCAUUAUGCUUAAAAUAUUUUGUGAAUUUUCGAAAAUUAUUUGGAAUGGAGUAAGAGGCCAUAUGUAGAAGUUCAAGCAAAUAAGAUAUGGUUCAAUCAGCUUACGAGUUCCCGCUAUUAUUUUAAGCAGGUACCUGGAAUUUCUGCUCACUUAAUUGGGAAAUAAGAUCAAAAGCUGAUAUCACCGCCGUCCAGGGAACACAAAGUUGUGGUUGCAUUUGUG